UACGUAGGGGUGCAAGCGUUUGUCCGGAAUUAUUGGGCGUAAAGAGCUCGUAGGCGGUCUGUCGCGUCGGUCGUGAAAACUUGGGGCUUAACCCUGAGCUUGCGGUCGAUACGGGCAUGACUGGAGUUCGGCAGGGGAGACUGGAAUUCCUGGUGUAGCGGUGAAAUGCGCAGAUAUCAGGAGGAACACCGGUGGCGAAGGCGGGUCUCUGGGCCGAUACUGACGCUGAGGAGCGAAAGCGUGGGGAGCGAACAGG
rnacentral:rRNA from 1 species